rnacentral:pre_miRNA from 1 species
AGAAGUUAAGUCCAGAUGUUAGAGCUCAACAACUUACGGCAAUGGAUUUAUCAAUUACCCAAGUUCGGUCUUCUCAGCAAGCUAUUUCGAAAGAUUAUCAAGUUACAGGGACCUCUUUAGCUUCCGUCUGAGUGCGUUUAGAAGAGUUAGAGCGGGAGCGAGAGUAGUUGGGAAUCGAAGCAUCACGACUUGAAGGU